GAUGAACGCUGGCGGCGUGCCUAAUACAUGCAAGUCGAGCGAACAGACGAGGAGCUUGCUCCUCUGACGUUAGCGGCGGACGGGUGAGUAACACGUGGAUAACCUACCUAUAAGACUGGGAUAACUUCGGGAAACCGGAGCUAAUACCGGAUAAUAUAUUGAACCGCAUGGUUCAAUAGUGAAAGACGGUUUUGCUGUCACUUAUAGAUGGAUCCGCGCCGCAUUAGCUAGUUGGUAAGGUAACGGCUUACCAAGGCAACGAUGCGUAGCCGACCUGAGAGGGUGAUCGGCCACACUGGAACUGAGACACGGUCCAGACUCCUACGGGAGGCAGCAGUAGGGAAUCUUCCGCAAUGAGCGAAAGCCUGACGGAGCAACGCCGCGUGAGUGAUGAAGGUCUUCGGAUCGUAAAACUCUGUUAUUAGGGAAGAACAAAUGUGUAAGUAACUACGCACGUCUUGACGGUACCUAAUCAGAAAGCCACGGCUAACUACGUG
rnacentral:rRNA from 1 species